rnacentral:rRNA from 1 species
UACGAAGGGUGCAAGCGUUAAUCGGAAUUACUGGGCGUAAAGCGUGCGCAGGCGGUUCGUCGUGUCCGAUGUGAAAGCCCCGGGCUCAACCUGGGAAUGGCAUUGGAAACUGGCGGGCUUGAGUGCGGCAGAGGGGGGUGGAAUUCCGCGUGUAGCAGUGAAAUGCGUAGAGAUGCGGAGGAACACCGAUGGCGAAGGCAGCCCCCUGGGUCGACACUGACGCUCAGGCACGAAAGCGUGGGGAGCAAACAGG